rnacentral:rRNA from 1 species
AUUGAACGCUGGCGGCAUGCCUUACACAUGCAAGUCGAACGGCAGCACGGGUGCUUGCACCUGGUGGCGAGUGGCGAACGGGUGAGUAAUACAUCGGAACAUGUCCUGUAGUGGGGGAUAGCCCGGCGAAAGCCGGAUUAAUACCGCAUACGAUCUACGGAUGAAAGCGGGGGACCUUCGGGCCUCGCGCUAUAGGGUUGGCCGAUGGCUGAUUACCUAGUUGGUGGGGUAAAGGCCUACCAAGGCGACGAUCAGUAGCUGGUCUGAGAGGACGACCAGCCACACUGGGACUGAGACACAGCCCAGACUCCUACGGGAGGGAGAAGUGGGAAAUUUUGGACAAUGGGCGAAAGCCUGAUCCAGCAAUGCCGCGUGUGUGAAGAAGGCCUUCGGGUUUUGAAGCACAUUUGUCCGGAAAAAAAUCCUUGGCCCUAAUACGGUCGGGGGAUGACGGUACCGGAAGAAUAAGCACCGGCUAACUACGUG